UACAGAGGUCCCAAGCGUUGUUCGGAUUCAUUGGGCGUAAAGGGUGCGUAGGCGGCGCGGUAAGUCGGGUGUGAAAUCUCGGAGCUUAACUCCGAAACUGCAUUCGAUACUGCCGUGCUUGAGGACUGGAGAGGAGACUGGAAUUUACGGUGUAGCGGUGAAAUGCGUAGAGAUCAGGAAGAACAUCGGUGGCGAAGGCGCUCUGCUGGACCAUAACUGACACUCAGGGACGAAAGCUAGGGGAGCGAAUGGG
rnacentral:rRNA from 1 species